rnacentral:rRNA from 1 species
GACGAAAAAUGAAUACCAAGUCUCAAGAGUGAACACGUAAUUCAUUACGAAGUUUAAUUCAUUGAGCAUCAAACUUUUAAAUUGAAGAGUUUGAUCAUGGCUCAGAUUGAACGCUGGCGGCAGGCCUAACACAUGCAAGUCGAACGGUAACAGGAAGCAGCUUGCUGCUUUGCUGACGAGUGGCGGACGGGUGAGUAAUGUCUGGGAAACUGCCUGAUGGAGGGGGAUAACUACUGGAAACGGUGGCUAAUACCGCAUAACGUCGCAAGACCAAAGAGGGGGACCUUCGGGCCUCUUGCCAUCAGAUGUGCCCAGAUGGGAUUAGCUUGUUGGUGAGGUAACGGCUCACCAAGGCGACGAUCCCUAGCUGGUCUGAGAGGAUGACCAGCCACACUGGAACUGAGACACGGUCCAGACUCCUACGGGAGGCAGCAGUGGGGAAUAUUGCACAAUGGGCGCAAGCCUGAUGCAGCCAUGCCGCGUGUAUGAAGAAGGCCUUCGGGUUGUAAAGUACUUUCAGCGGGGAGGAAGGUGUUGUGGUUAAUAACCGCAGCAAUUGACGUUACCCGCAGAAGAAGCACCGGCUAACUCCGUGCCAGCAGCCGCGGUAAUACGGAGGGUGCAAGCGUUAAUCGGAAUUACUGGGCGUAAAGCGCACGCAGGCGGUCUGUCAAGUCGGAUGUGAAAUCCCCGGGCUCAACCUGGGAACUGCAUUCGAAACUGGCAGGCUUGAGUCUUGUAGAGGGGGGNNNNNNNNNNNNNNNNNNNNCCCCCUGGACAAAGACUGACGCUCAGGUGCGAAAGCGUGGGGAGCAAACAGGAUUAGAUACCCUGGUAGUCCACGCCGUAAACGAUGUCUACUUGGAGGUUGUGCCCUUGAGGCGUGGCUUCCGGAGCUAACGCGUUAAGUAGACCGCCUGGGGAGUACGGCCGCAAGGUUAAAACUCAAAUGAAUUGACGGGGGCCCGCACAAGCGGUGGAGCAUGUGGUUUAAUUCGAUGCAACGCGAAGAACCUUACCUGGUCUUGACAUCCACGGAAGUUUUCAGAGAUGAGAAUGUGCCUUCGGGAACCGUGAGACAGGUGCUGCAUGGCUGUCGUCAGCUCGUGUUGUGAAAUGUUGGGUUAAGUCCCGCAACGAGCGCAACCCUUAUCCUUUGUUGCCAGCGGUCCGGCCGGGAACUCAAAGGAGACUGCCAGUGAUAAACUGGAGGAAGGUGGGGAUGACGUCAAGUCAUCAUGGCCCUUACGACCAGGGCUACACACGUGCUACAAUGGCGCAUACAAAGAGAAGCGACCUCGCGAGAGCAAGCGGACCUCAUAAAGUGCGUCGUAGUCCGGAUUGGAGUCUGCAACUCGACUCCAUGAAGUCGGAAUCGCUAGUAAUCGUGGAUCAGAAUGCCACGGUGAAUACGUUCCCGGGCCUUGUACACACCGCCCGUCACACCAUGGGAGUGGGUUGCAAAAGAAGUAGGUAGCUUAACCUUCGGGAGGGCGCUUACCACUUUGUGAUUCAUGACUGGGGUGAAGUCGUAACAAGGUAACCGUAGGGGAACCUGCGGUUGGAUCACCUCCUUACCUUAAAGAACUGUUCUUUGAAGUGCUCACACAGAUUGUCUGAUGAAAA